GACGAACGCUGGCGGCGUGCCUAAUACAUGCAAGUCGAGCGAAGUUUUUCUGGUGCUUGCACUAGAAAAACUUAGCGGCGAACGGGUGAGUAACACGUAAAGAACCUGCCUCAUAGACUGGGACAACCAUUGGAAACGAUAGCUAAUACCGGAUAACAGUAUUUCUCGCAUGAGAGAUAUUUAAAAGUUGGUUAUGCUAACACUAUGAGAUGGCUUUGCGGUGCAUUAGCUAGUUGGUGGGGUAAAGGCCCACCAAGGCGACGAUGCAUAGCCGACCUGAGAGGGUGAUCGGCCACACUGGGACUGAGACACGGCCCAGACUCCUACGGGAGGCAGCAGUAGGGAAUCUUCCGCAAUGGGCGAAAGCCUGACGGAGCAACGCCGCGUGAGUGAAGAAGGAUUUCGGUUCGUAAAGCUCUGUUGUUAGGGAAGAAUGGAUAUGUAGUAACUAUACANGUACGAGA
rnacentral:rRNA from 1 species